rnacentral:rRNA from 1 species
AUUGAACGCUGGCGGCAGGCCUAACACAUGCAAGUCGAGCGGUAGCACAGAGAGCUUGCUCUCGGGUGACGAGCGGCGGACGGGUGAGUAAUGUCUGGGAAACUGCCUGAUGGAGGGGGAUAACUACUGGAAACGGUAGCUAAUACCGCAUAACGUCGCAAGACCAAAGUGGGGGACCUUCGGGCCUCAUGCCAUCAGAUGUGCCCAGAUGGGAUUAGCUGGUAGGCGGGGUAACGGCUCACCUAGGCGACGAUCCCUAGCUGGUCUGAGAGGAUGACCAGCCACACUGGAACUGAGACACGGUCCAGACUCCUACGGGAGGCAGCAGUGGGGAAUAUUGCACAAUGGGCGCAAGCCUGAUGCAGCCAUGCCGCGUGUGUCGAAGAAGGCCUUCGGGUUGUAAAGCACUUUCAGCGGGGAGGAAGGCGAUAAGGUUAAUAACCUUGUCGAUUGACGUUACCCGCAGAAGAAGCACCGGCUAACUCCGUGCCAGCAGCCGCGGUAAUACGGAGGGUGCAAGCGUUAAUCGGAAUUACUGGGCGUAAAGCGCACGCAGGCGGUCUGUCAAGUCGGAUGUGAAAUCCCCGGGCUCAACCUGGGAACUGCAUUCGAAACUGGCAGGCUAGAGUCUUGUAGAGGGGGGUAGAAUUCCAGGUGUAGCGGUGAAAUGCGUAGAGAUCUGGAGGAAUACCGGUGGCGAAGGCGGCCCCCUGGACAAAGACUGACGCUCAGGUGCGAAAGCGUGGGGAGCAAACAGGAUUAGAUACCCUGGUAGUCCACGCUGUAAACGAUGUCGAUUUGGAGGUUGUGCCCUUGAGGCGUGGCUUCCGGAGCUAACGCGUUAAAUCGACCGCCUGGGGAGUACGGCCGCAAGGUUAAAACUCAAAUGAAUUGACGGGGGCCCGCACAAGCGGUGGAGCAUGUGGUUUAAUUCGAUGCAACGCGAAGAACCUUACCUGGUCUUGACAUCCACAGAACUUUCCAGAGAUGGAUUGGUGCCUUCGGGAACUGUGAGACAGGUGCUGCAUGGCUGUCGUCAGCUCGUGUUGUGAAAUGUUGGGUUAAGUCCCGCAACGAGCGCAACCCUUAUCCUUUGUUGCCAGCGGUUAGGCCGGGAACUCAAAGGAGACUGCCAGUGAUAAACUGGAGGAAGGUGGGGAUGACGUCAAGUCAUCAUGGCCCUUACGACCAGGGCUACACACGUGCUACAAUGGCAUAUACAAAGAGAAGCGACCUCGCGAGAGCAAGCGGACCUCAUAAAGUAUGUCGUAGUCCGGAUUGGAGUCUGCAACUCGACUCCAUGAAGUCGGAAUCGCUAGUAAUCGUAGAUCAGAAUGCUACGGUGAAUACGUUCCCGGGCCU